UGGUUUUGAGAGAAGAACAAGCGCGUUAAUUAAACAAUUUGAAGUUAUCCCUCACUAUGACUAGCCCUGAGGCAGCCUAUGAGUCUAGCAUUAUAGUUGUUUAAUAUAUGUGGCAUCAGAUACUGCAGACAUUUGGCAAGUCAAGUGACAAAUUGGAUGUUUUGGAGCCCGUCCCACGAUCGGACUCAUGUCCGUUUGCUCCGACUUGAGAUUCAUCUCUCGGCUGGCCGGUCCGGACAGUAAUACAGAACUGAACUACAGUAC
rnacentral:lncRNA from 1 species